rnacentral:rRNA from 1 species
ACUUCUGCCCCAGUGCUUGCUCCCCCUGAUUCUCGCAAGGACUUUGUCAUCUAUUGUGACGCUUCACGUCAAGGAUUAGGCUGUGUUCUAAUGCAAGAGCGCAGGGUGAUUGCCUAUGCCUCCCGUCAAGUGCGUCCUCACGAAGAAAACUACCCGGUUCAUGACCUUGAGCUUGCAGCGGUUAUCUUUGCAUUGAAGCUAUGGCGACAAUACCUUCUCGGUAAUCGUUGUGAGAUCUUCACCGAUCAUCAGAGUCUGAAGUACCUGUUUACUCAGCCAGAUCUGAACCUCCGUCAGCAGCGAUGGAUGGAAGCUAUUGCUGACUACAACUGCGGUAUAUCUUAUACACCUGGCAAGGCUAAUGUAAUGGCCGAUGCCCUAAGCCGAAAGUCUUAUUGCAAUAAUCACCAGGUCUACAAAGCUCAACCCCGCCUUUAUGAAGAGCUAUGCAAGCUGAACCUUCAACUAAUUCCACAGGGUUCUCUGAAUAACCUUGUUUUGGAACCAACUCUUCUGAAAGCAAUCAAGUCUGCUCAAGCCAAAGAUGCU